UAUUCGCUGUGUUUUGGAACCCCUUUGUGUUUUCUGGAUUACCUUUGUUUGGACUUUGCCUUGAGCUUUAUGGAAGUUUUGCUGAAUAAAUCUUUUGUUUGAACUGCAUCCUCCUCUUGCCUUGCCAUUGUCUGCACUCAGCGCUCCCCGUGACCAGAUUAAGAUGUUUCUCCUGUUUUGCAUCCUUUGCCUGAUGCCUCCAAGUGGCUACAGUCAGCUCAGUGGUCCACCUGGUCCACCUGGUAUACCUGGUCCACCUGGUAUACCUGGUCCACUGGUCCCAAAGGUGAACGUGGAUUUCGUGGGCCAAUGGGACCUCCUGGAUUCCUGGACCUGCUGUAAUCUGUGGACGAGGUUAUAUAUAUUCUAGAUUUUAAAAAAAUACUUUCACCAGCUGGGUAACAACUGUUAUUUAAUAAAUUGCAGGAUGCAGCAGUAGUACAACUUGCGGGCAAA